rfam:Anolis carolinensis unplaced genomic scaffold chrTn0530, whole genome shotgun sequence.
ACUACAAAUCUAAAUACCUUAAGGGCACCCAGUUCCUUCUGGUUUUGGAAGCUAAGUGGGGUCGGGUCUGGGUAGGACUUCGAUGGGAGUCCACCAAUGAAUACUGAUUUUUUUGUAGGC